rnacentral:tRNA from 1 species
GCGGGUGUAGCUCAGUUGGUUAGAGCGCCGGCCUGUCACGCCGGAGGUCGCGGGUUCGAGCCUCGUCACUCGCGCCA